GGUCUCCAUCAUUCACUUCUGCUGUGCAAGAACUUGCCUCGAGUUAUUUGAUGUUAAAGCUACAUUUAUUGAUGAACCAAAUGAUGAUUAGUUGGUCAUGAAUCCCAACAUUAGAUGUCACAUGAGGCUCCAAAUAGAACUUGAACUCCGGCUGACAAAUGAUCCCAUCAUAAAAGGAUUGUUCUUCACUAAAAUAAAUCCUGAUUUACGUUGAAUCAGUCCACA
rnacentral:lncRNA from 1 species